GGUAUGGAGGCUCCACAAUCAUCAAGAAAGCAUAUUUCUUCUACCUUUCUUUUCCUUCAUCCUCAGUGUUAGCUUCCAUCCUCAUCAUGGACUCAUAAUCCAAAAUGGCUGCUGAAGUUCCAGUCAUCACUGUUUCAUCCCAGAAAGCAGAGUGGAUGAAUAGGGAACAUAAGAUUGCAUACAAUUGUCAAUUGUCCUUUUGAGGAGACUUCCAGUCAGUAUCUUCCAUUAUAUUUCAUUGAACGGUAUUGAAGAAAAGGAACAGCAACAGUAUACUUGCCACAUCUAAGGAGGGGAGGAGGGGCCCAUCUGUGCUCACCCCACUGCUUCAGGGUCCUUCUAACAAAGAGAUUGUGCUGCGGUGGCCCCAAGAACCUUCCAGCAGGCAAUGCCUGCUGCUUUGGAAGUAUUCAGAAGUUGCAAUGCUGGGAACCAAGAUGUCAGGUUAUUGAAAGGAGAGGAACUACCAGAUAGAACCUGGCUUUGUAGAGCAAAUAAAGUUCUUUGUUCAAAUGUUCGAAAUGCCAAGAACCUGGACCCUCCACUGGUAAGAACCAGACCUCAAGUCCAGAUCUUCCUUGUGGACAGGACAGAACCAAGGCCCAGCUCCCUCCUGACCCGUAGCCACAGAUGUGAUUCUGGCCGUGAAGCCCCCUUAACCCCAUGUUUUAACCACCGGAGUUAAAUGACUGCUAAGUAGGUGUGAGGCAGAAAAGGAAACAGGCUACAUGAUUAAAACACGAG
rnacentral:lncRNA from 1 species